rnacentral:rRNA from 1 species
AGACAGGUGCUGCAUGGCUGUCGUCAGCUCGUGUCGUGAGAUGUUGGGUUAAGUCCCGCAGCGAGCGCAACCCCUACGUUUAGUUGCUAACGCGUGAAGGCGAGCACUCUAGACGAACUGCCGUUGACAAAACGGAGGAAGGUGGGAUGACGUCAAAUCAUCAUGCCCCUUAUGUUCUGGGCUACACACGUGCUACAAUGGCCGGUACAGACGGACGCAAAGCCGCGAGGUGGAGCAAAUCCUAAAAAGCCGGUCUCAGUUCGGAUUGCAGGCUGCAAUUCGCCUGCAUGAAGUCGGAAUCGCUAGUAAUCGCAGGUCAGCAUACUCGCGGUCGAAUACGUUCCGGGCCUU